AACUGUUACAGCUCUUUUUAGAAUUUGUCUAGUAGGAUUUCUGACCUUCAUCUAAAACACCAUC